rnacentral:lncRNA from 1 species
GGUAGGUUAGGUGCAUUAAAUGCAUUUUCAACUUCUGUUUUCAACUUUCAAUGGGUAUAUCAGGAUGUAACCCCAUGAUAAGUUGAGGAACAUCUAUUUAAAAACUCCAUGUGUAGUAUUUUUUAAAAAUAUUUCUUUAGCUGUUGAUAGACCUUUAUUUUAUUUAUUUGUUUGUUUGUUUAUAUGUGGUGCUGAGAAUCGAGCCCAGUUCCUCACACAUGCUAAGCAAGUGCUCUACCACUGAGCUACAAUCCCAGCCCUGUAGUAUCCUUUUAAAAUGAGUCCUUUUUAGGACAUGUUGAUUUCAACAUAAAAUUAGAAAUCUUUUUUUUUUCUGCCCUACUCCUACCAAGAACAUUAUUAAGUGCCCACCAAACAGAAAAUUUGUUGUUGCUUUUUAAAAGUAUGUAAACUCCUGAUUAGACUAUUUAUAUGCUUUUCCAUAUUCGUGGAAGUUUGAGGAGAAUCACCACAGCAAGGUACAGGGUGUGGGUUGGGAAGGGACCCUUGUAGAGAAAUCUUAGUGAGUUUUAACUGGUCUCUGAGUCUAGGCCUUAGCUUUGCAAGACCAAAAACUUGGAUCUGUAGGAGACUGUCAGAGAUGCUAAAUCUAUCGAGAUUAUUGGUUUUGAAGCCAAAUGGCUUAGUUUAUGUAUCAGGCUCUGUUACUCAAAUGCCUGUGUAACCAUGGACAACUAUUUGGCUCCUAUAAACUUUGUUUCCCUCAUCUAUAAGUGGAAAACAACUGUACCUACAGAGUUCUAAAGAUUUUCUAAGUCAGUACCCAUAAAAUACUUAAAACAGUACCUAGAAUAUAAUAGAUGUAUACUGAAUUGGUAUCAAUUUAUGAUAGGCGUAUUUCUUUCAAAUGCUAGUGUUUCUAUUCCUUCUGUCUCUGUUUUUGGUAUCACAUUUUUCUGAGAACUUGAAUUCCUGUUCAGGAGAUUUCUUGUUUCAUAUUGGAUGAAGGCCCUGUCAUAGCAGACCUGAUCGGUCCUCUAUACAUCAAUGUAAUGUCUCUUCUCUUUCUGUGGAUGCUUAUUAAAGAAACUUUCUCUCCUCUCCCUCCACUUCCAUUGACAUACAUUUUUUUAGAUUUUUAGAUGUUGGCCAGCUCUGUUUAUUGAGGCUCUUUUACAAGUUUAAUGUCAUUGAUGUUAUAGAUAGUAUUACAGUGCUCUUAAAUGUGUUGCUUUACUUGGCUUAACAUAAACAGAAGCAAUCCCAUUUCUAAUUUCUUGGAGGUGAGGGAAUACUUCACCAUUUCAAAGGGGCAUGAAUUUACCUCCUCUACCUUUCAGGAAAAUCAUAUGUUGUAUCUGUAAAAAUAAAAAGUAUACUUGGAAGUAGACAUUAGACACAACCUUUACAUGAAUUAUCACACAACUCUUGGUUCUCAGUGACAUGCAACAGUGAGAAAACUACAAGCUCAUUAUUAAGAUACAAAAUUUAAAACUACAGGAAGCAAGUUAGUGUAACUUAACUGACAAUAAUACAGCAAAUUGUGGAGAAAGCUGUACUCUCCAAAAUUUUAGUGAAGGAAUAAUCAUCAACAACAGCCAAAGAAGACAUAUCUGUCUAUAGUCAUGGGUUUUAUAGUAAAAUUAUCGUCAAAAUACAUAAUGUUCUAUAGCUUCCAAAAUGUUUUCACACGUCAUAUUCAUUUCUUAACUUCUUGUGAGGUAGCUCUAUUAUUUAAUCCCAAAAAACUAACAGUUAAACCCCUGUACUAAGCAGAAAUCUAUAUUUUCUUACAUAUCUUACUUAUCCUGUGUUCUUCUCCAUUAUAGUAUACUUUCUUCCAUGUGAAUUAAGUAAUUUGAUGGUUUCUUUUAUUUGAGAAGUUUAGGAAGAGGUUUUUGUUGUUGUUGUUUAAUUCCUUUUGAUUAAACUUGUUAGGAAAGAUGGUGAUCAAAAAAACAAACAAACAAAAAACCCUAAUCUAUAGUAACUGCUUCAGUGGAAUAUUUAAGAGAUUAUUAUAUAGCAAAAUGAGAGCAUUAAACACUCCCCAGGAAUGGAUAUGAAGAAUCUUUAUUAUAGUUUUUUUUUUUUCUUUUUCCUGGGGAGUUCAUAGGAGGAAUUCCCUUGGCAAAAAUCAGGCAGCUGCUGCUGCUGACAACAGUUGUCUUUUUAUUUGCAGAACCAUAUACUCUUAUUCUUAUGAGUAGUACACUGUUGUUGAAGGCAUUGACCCCGUAAUGACAAUCCAUCCCAAAAGCCAAUGUGUAAGAGAAGUAAAUAAAUUCUAGAUAGAGAAUUUAAAAUAGUAAUGACUUUUUCUGUGUACACUCAAUUGUGGUACUACUAGAAUGAUAACCAUAAAUUUUGUAAUAAUGAUGAAAAAUAGAAUAGUUGCUGAUGGGCUAAUAUGCCUCUGUAUAAAACAAAAUCCUUAGGUACCAACCUGUUGAAAUGGGAAAGAGUGACUCAUACAUACUUGUUAUUGUACUUUUUUAUCAUUAGGGUUUUUCCUCUGAAUAAGUCUUGGCAGAGAUAAUUCAUUGGUGCAUAACUUCAGAAAAAUUAUUUGGAGGUGGGACCCAGAACAAUGAAAUAAUUGUUGAUUUGAAAGUGAGCCAUCUGAAAUUUCAGAGUGUGAAUUAAUGAAUGUACAUUGUGUUUUUCACCCUUGUGUAUUACCUUAUUUCUGUUUUUUUUUUCCACUCCCCUAACAUACUCUAUUCCCAAUUCCCCAGAUUUUUAAAUAAAAGAAUGUAUGCAAGUGUUAUA